GUGAAUCAUCGAAUUUUUGAACGCAAAUUGCACUCUCUGCGGAGAGUAUGCGUGUUUGAGGGUCAGCAUAAAAAAAAUCGACAUAGGUGCUGUUUCGGGGUGACAUUGGUCGGAAAUUGGGUCAUAUUAAACCUGUGGGUUUGAAGCGGGUUAAAAUUUUCUUUACGAUUCCAUGAAGGGUUCUAAGAUGUUACGUGUUACACGUAUAAGGGAU
rnacentral:misc_RNA from 1 species